rnacentral:pre_miRNA from 1 species
ACAACAACAUUCGGACUGUCGGUCUACCGAGCAAUAUCACCCGCUCAGCGGAAGAUCUUCCCUUUUGUCGUUAACU